CCCCCAACAUGGCUUCUCUCACUCUACUCCGUUUCCCCUCUUUCUGUCCCCUCGUUGCCAUCCUGCUCAUUGCUCUCUUAAGGGAAGUGCACGGGAUUUCCUGCGUGCAAUGCGAGGCGGACUCCAUCCCCGGCUCGCCUGACCCCCCUUGCAUAGCCAACCCCCCGCCCCCCCAGCCAUGCAACGGGUCCAUGACUGUCUGCAUGACUGUUAGAACCUAUAUCCCCGCCGAAGAAGAUACUCGCCAGCUGGUCUCGGUCGUGCGUACGUGCGCGCCUGCAGACAUGGGCUGGGACUGCAAGAAGGGGCGUACCAGCCGCGGACACGUGCCCGAGGUGUGUCAUGAUACGUGCUACUGGGAUGGGUGCAAUCACGCCCACUCCCUCACGCCCACGAUGCUCCUCCCACUCCUCUCGGAAGCUCGUGUGGGGGGGAUUCCGCCCCUGACCUUCCCGUCGCGUUCCCUGUUUUGGUUGAUCCUUUGAUUCUUGGCUUUACGAAUACAGUUUUUUUUUCGGUUGAUUGAAAUCCGGUUAUGUAUUUUAUUGGUAUGUCCUUUUUUUUCUUGUCUAGGUC